UUCUUGUUACUCCAGACCCUCUCCGAGCCCCUGUUUAUCACAGGUUAAACGUUUGCCUAUGCCAACCUCGGUCCGCAACAUUUCGGUUGCAUUAUGUCGGGUGAGUGCGACAUCAAAAGGAGGGGGUCAAUGGCUGGUGAAAAAUAAGGUAGCGACGGAUUUUGUCUGAUCUUGCGCAAAAGGGGAAGAGGCAAAACGCAUAUCAGUUUAAAUCCCGUGGUAAUUUUGUCUGAAUUUAUGCAAAAAUGAUCUGCACACACUUUUAAUGUGGGUAACAAGGAGAGCAAAAAUGAGCACAGACCUAAAAUUUUCUCUGGUGACGACCGUUAUCGUGCUGGGAUUGAUUGUGGCAACCGGUUUAGUUGCGGUACUGAACUAAACA
rnacentral:sRNA from 1 species